UACGUAGGGUGCAAGCGUUGUCCGGAAUUAUUGGGCGUAAAGAGCUCGUAGGCGGUUUGUUGCGUCGGCUGUGAAAUCCCGAGGCUCAACCUCGGGUCUGCAGUCGAUACGAGCAAACUAGAGUGUUGCAGGGGAGACUGGAAUUCCUGGUGUAGCGGUGAAAUGCGCAGAUAUCAGAAGGAAUACCGGUGGCGAAAGCGACUCUCUGGACGGCAACUGACGCUGAGGCACGAAAGCGUGGGGAGCAAACAGG
rnacentral:rRNA from 1 species